GACGAAGGAUGCAAGCGUUAUCCGGAUUCAUUGGGUUUAAAGGGAGCGUAGGUGGACUUGUAAGUCAGUGGUGAAAUCUUUGGGCUUAACCCAGAAACUGCCAUUGAUACUGCAGGUCUAGAGUACAGUUGCCGUUGGCGGAAUAUGACAUGUAGUGGUGAAAUACAUAGAGAUGUCAUAGAACACCGAUUGCGAAGGCAGCUCACAAAGCUGUAACUGACACUGAGGCUCGAAAGUGCGGGGAUCAAACAGG
rnacentral:rRNA from 1 species